AAGGCUAUACUUUCUGGGAUCAUUUCUAUAGUUGGUGACUAGAGAAGUUUCUCUGAUAGUGUAGAGAUGCUGAU
rnacentral:snoRNA from 1 species